GCAAGUCGAGCGGUAACAGAGAGUAGCUUGCUACUCUGCUGACGAGCGGCGGACGGGUGAGUAAUGCUUGGGAAUAUGCCUUAUGGUGGGGGACAACAGUUGGAAACGACUGCUAAUACCGCAUGAUGUCUACGGACCAAAGUGGGGGACCUUCGGGCCUCACGCCAUAAGAUUAGCCCAAGUGGGAUUAGCUAGUUGGUGAGGUAAUGGCUCACCAAGGCGACGAUCCCUAGCUGGUUUGAGAGGAUGAUCAGCCACACUGGGACUGAGACACGGCCCAGACUCCUACGGGAGGCAGCAGUGGGGAAUAUUGCACAAUGGGCGCAAGCCUGAUGCAGCCAUGCCGCGUGUGUGAAGAAGGCCUUCGGGUUGUAAAGCACUUUCAGUAAGGAGGAAAGGUUAAGUGUUAAUAGUACUUAGCUGUGACGUUACUUACAGAAGAAGCACCGGCUAACUCCGUGCCAGCAGCCGCGGUAAUACGGAGGGUGCGAGCGUUAAUCGGAAUUACUGGGCGUAAAGCGUACGC
rnacentral:rRNA from 1 species